GCAGUUGUGGCCUAAUGGUUCGAGCGUCGGACUUGUAACCCGAAGGUGAACCCGAAGGUUCGAGUCUCGGGUCCGGCA